rnacentral:rRNA from 1 species
CACCUGACUCCAUUCCGAACUCAGAAGUGAAACGAAAUAGCGCCGAUGGUAGUGUGGGGUUUCCCCAUGUGAGAGUAGGACAUCGCCAGGC